UGGGGAAUCUUGCACAAUGGGGGCAACCCUGAUGCAGCGACGCCGCGUGAGCGAUGAAGCCCUUCGGGGCGUAAAGCUCUUUCGACCGGAACGAUAAUGACGGUACCGGGAGAAGAAGCUGCGGCUAACUACGUGCCAGCAGCCGCGGUAAUACGUAGGCAGCAAGCGUUGUUCGGAGUUACUGGGCGUAAAGAGUGCGUAGGCGGUUUUCUAAGUUCGGUGUGGAAUCUCCCGGCUUAACUGGGAGGGUGCGCCGAAGACUGGGAAGCUGGAGUGUGGGAAAGGCAGGCGGAAUUCCUGGUGUAGCGGUGAAAUGCGUAGAUAUCAGGAGGAACACCGGCGGUGUAGACGGCUUGCUAGACCAUAACUGACGCUGAGGCACGAAAGCGUGGGUAGCAAACA
rnacentral:rRNA from 1 species